AUUCCAGCUCCAAUAGCGUAUAUUAAUGUUGUUGCAGUUAAAAAGCUCGUAGUUGAAUUUCUGGUUAAAAUCUUAGCUGGCUUUGGUCGUUAAUGUUUUAAUCAUCCGUUAGAGAACUAUAACCGUCCUUAACUGGUCAUUAUAGAGAUCUAACAUUUUACUUUGAAAAAAUUAGAGUGUUCAAGGCAGGCAAUCGUCAUGAAUACUAUAGCAUGGAAUAAUGGAAUAGGACUUUGGUUCAUUUUAUUGGUUAUUGAACCUUAGUAAUGAUUAACAGGGACGGUCAGGGGCACUCGUAUUCCGCCGAGAGAGGUGAAAUUCUCAGACCAGCGGAAGACGAACCACUGCGAAAGCAUUUGCCAGGGAUGUUUUCAUUA
rnacentral:rRNA from 1 species